GGCGCCCGGGAAGAGGUGGUUGUGAGGCAGACGAACUCGCGGCUCUCCGGCUUCCGAGGCUUCCGAGUUGUCGGAGGAAGGGGGCGGCGAGCAAUAAGAACCCGCCGCACCCGGUCCUCAGCGACUCUUCUGACCUCCGCGCGACGUACCCGCCGCCGCCGUUGGCUGGAGGUUUUAUGGCAGGAAUUCUUCCUAUGUUCAUGGUGGAGUAGAUGCUAGUGGAAAGCCCCAGGAAGCUGUUUAUGGCCAAAAUGAUAUACACCACAAAGUAUUAUCUCUGAACUUCAGUGAAUGUCAUACUAAAAUUCGUCAUGUGGAUGCUCAUGCAACCUUGAGUGAUGGAGUAGUUGUCCAGGUCAUGGGUUUGCUGUCUAACAGUGGACAACCAGAAAGAAAGUUUAUGCAAACCUUUGUUCUGGCUCCUGAAGGAUCUGUUCCAAAUAAAUUUUAUGUUCACAAUGAUAUGUUUCGUUAUGAAGAUGAAGUGUUUGGUGAUUCUGAGCCUGAACUUGAUGAAGAAUCAGAAGAUGAAGUAGAAGAGGAACA
rnacentral:ncRNA from 2 species